rnacentral:sRNA from 1 species
UUUAUUUGCUUCUCUUU